UACGUAGGGACCAAGCGUUGUUCGGAUUUACUGGGCGUAAAGCGCACGUAGGCGGAUCGUUAAGUUAGGGGUGAAAUCCUGGAGCUCAACUCCAGAACUGCCUCUAAUACUGGCGAUCUAGAGUCCGGAAGAGGUGAGUGGAACUCCUAGUGUAGAGGUGGAAUUCGUAGAUAUUAGGAAGAACACCAGUGGCGAAGGCGGCUCACUGGUCCGGUACUGACGCUGAGGUGCGAAAGCGUGGGGAGCAAACAGG
rnacentral:rRNA from 1 species